UUGGUUUUGAAAUGUGAGGACAUGAGAUUUGGAGGGGCCAGGGGUGGAAUGAUAUGCUUUGGCUGUGUCCCUGCCAAAAUCUCAACUUGAAUUAUAUCUCUCAGAAUUCCCACGUGUUGUAGGAGGGACCCAGGGGGAGAUAAUUGAAUCAUGGGGGCCCAUCUUUCCCAUGCUAUUCUCAUGAUAGUGAAUAAGUCUCAGGAGAUCUGAUGGGUUUAUCAGGGGUUUCCACUUUUGCUUCUUCCUCAUUUUCUCUUGCUGCUGCCAUGUAAGAAGUGCCUUUCACCUUCCGCCACGAUUCUCAGGCCUCCCCAGCCAUGUGGAACUCUCUGCCCUCAUCAUGAGACCAUGCCCAGGCUAGUCUGCUGGAAGGAAGUCAGAGGCACACGGAAGAGAGCCACAUUCAGCCAAGGCCAUUCUAGACCAGUUGUUCCCUGUCACUUCACUAAUUGGCCACAGCACAAGGUACACGGAUGGAGCUGGAAGCCAUUAUCCUCAGCAAACUAAUGUAGGAACAGAAAACCAAAUAUUGCAUGUUCUUACUUAUAAGUGGGAGCUGAACAACGAGAACACAUGGACACAGGGAGGGAAACAACACACACUGGGGCCUGUCCAGCAGUAAGGUUGAGGCAGGGAAAGCAUUAGGAAAAAUAGCUAUGCAUGCUGGGCUGAAUACUGGGUGAUGGAUUGAUAGGUGCAGCAAACCACCAUGGCAUAUGUUUACCUUUGUAAGAAACCAGCACAUCCUGCACAUGUACCCUGGAACUUAAAAUAAAAAUUAAAAUGUUUUUUAAAAAAGUCAUGAUGUUUUCUCAGCAGCCCAGUUUACUUUUCCAGACCCCUCUGGCAUGUGUUACUCCAGAAAAAGGCCGGUGUGUGUGAA
rnacentral:lncRNA from 1 species